rnacentral:lncRNA from 1 species
UUUUUUUCUUUUUUCUUUUUUUUUUUAAAGGUAUAUCUGAAUGUGGUCCAUUUAGCCCCAGGGAUGCCCUGCACCCGCCCCAUUCCUAGUCUCCCCGCCAGCCCCCUACCAGCACUGAGCUCAUCUGUCCAGUGUGGCUGAACCGGCCACUUUGUUCUGCUGGGCACCAGAUAAACACUCCCUAAUUAGCAGAUGGAGCUAAACUCUGGCUGGCAUCUGGGGUUGUCUCCUGGCCAGCCCUGGAGCCUUCAUUUACUGCAGCCCGGGGGUGCCUAAGAUCCUUGUGUAGCUGGGAAGAAGUUCGCCUGGUCCAGGCUGGACAGACACAGCGUCCACAGGGAAGUGACUGUCACCCUAUACUGCUCCCGAACUGCUGCAGGCUCGGGGGAAAGGCUUCCUGGGCUCUGUCUUCUGGAAAGCUCCCGAGGACUCUAUGAGGCAGCUUCUGCAAUUAGAGCCUUUUGCAGAUAGAAUGGCUGAGUCUCUUGGAGGUCAGGUAUGGUCCAGGGUCAUUCAGCUGAUAACAGGUGGGGUGAGGUGCACACUUGUGUAAAUUGGUUUGAUCACAAAGCCCAAGCUGCCCAUCACAGAGACAGAUUGCUCCACUCAGAACGUUGGGAUGCCGGCACCAGGAAUCCCACGAGAUCUCGUGGCAAGCCUGACGUCACCCAACUACAGAGUUUCUCUGAUGAAUCCAAAAUCUCUUUUCCAGACUAUGAAAGAGAAUGUAUAUAUGUGUAUGCCUGAGUCACUUUGCUGUGUAGCAGAAAUUGGCACAAUAUUGUAAAUCAACUAUAAAUCAACUAUACUUUAAAUUGAAAAAAAUUUUUAACAAAAUAAAAUCUUUUUUUUCCCCUUGGCUCCAGCUAAAUUUUGGAUAUAAGGGAAAGAACUCCAAUUCUCUGACAACUCCUACAACAUCCCUGAGAUGCAGGAACUGCAGCCCCCAAAAUCAUGUAGGGGCUGAGGUCCAGUCAGGGCGGCAGGGAGCUGGGAGGGAAGUCAUCGCAGCUGGUCACCCAGCUGGUGGCAGUUUGCCUGCCGGAGGGACGAAUAAACUGUCUUCCCUCAAAGGAGCCCACGGUUCUCCCUGGCUGUCCCAGGUCCACAGGAGUCAAAAAGCAAAACCAACUGUUGCUGCUGUGUUGUGGGGGAGGGGGACAAGCAGGCCUGAUGGCAGCGGUCUACACCCUGGGUUGCUUACCCAUUCUAUGCCUUCUGCCCCACCCUGAGUCUCCCACCAGCUGGCGGCUCUGGCUCAGGCCAAGGCAGUUGGCCUGGCUUUUCCACCCCGGAUGACCCUGACUUUUCCCCUCCAGGUCCCCAUUUCCAAGGCCAGUGCCAGGCAUGCAGCUGGCACUCCUCCAAGGUGCCCGGAUUGGCUUGACAUUCCUUCCUGUGGGAAGGGAGUAAUGUGGUCACUGCCGAAGGCUUCAAAGAGCGAACACACACACACACACACACACACACACACACACCACUCCUCACCUGGCCACCACCCACACACACACACACGCACGCACGCACGCACGCACAUCCCACUCACCUGGCCACCACCAUAGAUCUUCCUUCCCUUCAUUCUUCAGUUUGGAGGGGACACUUUGCCCCCACCUACUUUCCAGCCAACUUUCUGCAGGUAAUCCAACAAGGGGUAGAUGGGGGCCCUGUGGGGGCAGAGCUGAGUCUUCUAGGUCUGACCUUGGGGCCUGGGACUAGAGGAGGAGGGAGGUGACCAUGACAGGGCCUCCUGACAUAACACCCAAACACACCCUGACAUGACACCCUAAUGCUGGGAAAACAAGGUGUGCAGCUCUGAGCAGUCCUGCAGGUGGCCUGACUCAGAUGCUGCCUCUGGCAAAGCUGGGGUUGAUUAUCCAACAAGAGAGGUGAGUGGUGGUAGGCAGGACACAGGCUGAGUUCCAGGCAGCAGCCAGUCAGACCUUUCUGGGAGCUGAAAGAAGUCUUCUUUUUUGUUCUUUUGUCUUUUUAGGGCCACGCCCACAGCAUAUGGAGGUUUCCAGGCUAGGGGUUGAAUCAGAGCUGCAGCUGCCGCUCUGUGCCUAUACCACAGCCACAGCAACAUCAGAUCUGAACCUUAUCUGUGACCUACACCACAGCUCACAGCAAUGCUGGAUCCUUAACCCACUGAGUGAGGCCAGGGAUCGAACCUGCAUUCUCAUGGAUACUAGUCAGAUUCAUUUCCACUGAGCCACGACGGCAAUUCUGUGAGAGAGAAGUCUUCUGCUCGCGGCACAGGCACCUUCUUCCAGGGAAGGGGAAUGAUUGCCUCUCCCCGCAGGAGCUGUCUUGGGGAUGCAGGAGGGGCUUCCUACUCUCCUCAGCCAAAAACAGAGAACUUCUGGAGGAGCCUAAAACUCCAAGCUGGAGUGAACUAAAGCUGGAGUGCCCGACUGCUCCUAGUCCUGCUGUCUGUCACCUGAUGGCCCUGGAAUGUGGAUGAGUCACUUCCUCUCUUAAGGCCCCAUUUCCUCUUGUGUCACAUAAAGGAAAUGGACCACAUCAGAGGGUGGCCAAUAAGGCUCAUAUCAAGGUGCCAUUGCCAAUUGAUAGGUAGUGUCUUCCUGAAGGUAUUUGGGUUUGUUUUUUUAAGAAAGAUCCUGAGACCAUGUCUAGGCUCAUGAUCAAUGAACAGUGUCAGCCCUGGGUCCAGGAUGGGUACGUGCUGUGAUCGAUUAGUGAGCCUGCUGUGGGCUCGAAACCGCAAAGUGGCAGCACAAGUGCCAGAUAUGCAUCUUCUUGGUAGAUGAUUUCUAGGGGCCUUCAGGUUGUAAAACUCCCAAUUCCACCCCAGUUCUCCAGCAGAUCUAGUUAGCGACGGCUGGCAAGCAUGUACCUCCCAUAUUGUGAUAUGUGCACAAAGCUGAUCGCUCUUUCAUCAGCCCUGCAGGGCAGUCACUGGAGGAGCAGGCAGCCCCCUAUGUCUCUAUUGCCCAGACCCACCAGACUUCACCCAGAGGCUUAGAGCCAAUGCACAGUGCCAAGGUGUACUACCCAGAAGACAUUCCAACUUUGCUUACAAUCUUCCCCAAUAUUUACAGAAAGAGACACUGCCACAGGGACAAUCCCAUCUUGCCCUUGGGGGAGGAUGCAAGCAGAAAAAGGCAGAGGUAGCUCUUGACUACCCUUGCUUGGUCACAAGCAAGGGUCUCAUCAGACAUGGCCUGUAUCUGUUAGAAGCCCCCUGGGAGACAGGUGCCAGGAUCACCUAUAAAUCAUUCACCAGAAGACCAAUUCACCAAAUGCACAUGGGUACCAAAACAGGUGCUCACAGACCACGUACUCGUCUGAACAAGAAAAGGUUCAUUUCCCAAGUAUACUUGUAGCAUGGCGAGGAUCCACGGCUCUAGGCUGCUUCAGACCCCUGGACAAGCUCCCCUUCUCUCUUUGCAUCCUUAGGCCUUGCCCAGGGCAGGGGGUGGGGGUGGCUGACAGUAUGCAGAGGCCCUCCCCCACAUACGCUGCCUCCAGUUGCCGCUCUCCAUCUAUUCUGGACCUGUGAGGCCCCUCGUGCACAAAGUCUAAAGUCACAGGGGUUUGAGGAAACUCACAAAAAGGAAUCACCUUGCAAACCGUACAAAUUCCAUCUGCUUGGAGUGGAAAAAAAAUAAACUUACCUUUGAGUGCAUUCUAGCUGGGUACCAAGCAACCCAGGAUUCUAACUCAGUGGUAAACAGCUUUCCAUCCUGAGCCAGCCUGGAGGCGCCCUUUCCCCAGGCCUUCCCUGCUCAACAUGCCCUGGAGCACAGUCACCACACGGCAUUCCCCUACCCUCACCCCAGCACUAGGCAGGGCCUGCCAGAGGGGAAAUCAGUAGAGACAGAGAGGAAGCUGGAGUCCACCCUCAGGUCAUGGGGCCCAGAUGAAAGGGAGCAGUGGGGCAGAGCCAGCUCCCUGGGGAAAGGGAAGCCAGCCACAGAAUCCCAAGGAGCUACCAGAAUCCCUACAGGGCUCCCCUGGAAUCUCCAUGUUCCAUCAGGAAUCUGAAAGAUGCCUCUUUCCAAGAGCAAGGAAAAACUGUCAACCAAUAAUGACUUCGAAAAAACAGUGUUUUCCUAAUGGUGUUACUGGGACGAAGGUGGGUCGGUCAUUACACCUUGGGGUGAGAGAGUUUCUCUGGGCUCCCUGAGAUGCUGUCUCCAGGGCCUCAGCCCUAAUUUUAUCCCAAAUAAAACUUAACUCUCAACUUUCAGGUUGUGCAGUUUUUUGAAAGUUGACAUGGGAAAACCUUACCACCACCACCUGCCUCUCCUGCUUGGAAGCAGACUGAGCUAUGUGGUCAAAGUGAAGUCAUAUAAAUGCGACCCAGAAAGAAACCUCUGCCUCCAGCUGGAAUGGGGAUGUCCAGCUAUUUUAUCUUGGCGUUAAGUUUCUGAGGACCAAACUGGUGAGGUCUCAGCUUCCUUGUCUGGGGACUCCUCAGCAGGCCUCACCCGUCACUAUUCUCCGGGUUCCCUUUCUGUGGAUUGUCCAAUUUCCCUCUUACAAUCACCCCAGGAGGCAGGUGUUUUUAUGAUCCCCAUCUCACAGAUGAGAGAACCGAGGUACGGAGAGAUUAAAGAACCCACCAAGGGUAGGUUAUGCUAGGAAAUGCUGGAGCUGCUCUUGGAAUCCAACCAGCCUGGCCCUGAAGCACCUGUCCUUAACCACUGCACUCCGCUACCACAAAACUCUCAGCAUGGUUCAUCAUGACAGAAGAACUGCCUCCCAAGUGUUUCUUGACUUAAUACACAGUUCAUGCAUUGUAAGCAAUUUCUGAAUACAAGAUUCCAAUCUGACAAGAUAAUUUAGACAGUCCCUGGGGUUUGCUGUAAUGGAUUCUAACCAGUUCCAUUCCAUAGCAAUGAUCUAGAAUGAUGGCUCAAGGAAUAUGAGUAAUGUGAUUUUAAUAAUUGUUUUCAUUUUCUUUCUCUUGUUAUUUAUGUUCUUAAUGUCUACAUUUUUUAAGCCACACCCGCGGCAUGUGGGAAUUCCCAGGCUGGGGAUGGAACCUGGGCCACAGUAGUGACAACGCCAGAUCCUUAACUCCUGGGCCAGUGGGGAACUCCAAUAUUUACUUUUUUUUUAACCUGUGCUUUUUCUAAUUAUAUAGUAAUGACCAGGGAGAUAGAGUUUAUUUUAUACCUCCCACUUUUCCCAUCUCCCCACAUAAGCAUUUUUUUAAAUUAUUACAUAUUAAUGUUGUAAUACACGAACACAUUUUCCUUCUUAAAAAAAAAAUUUUUUUUGUCUUUUCAGUGCUGCACCUGCAGCAUAUGGAGAAAUAGCAACAACAACAACAAAAAAGACAAAAGACCAAAAAAAAAAAAAAAAAAAAAAAAAAAAAAGCUCUUCAAAACAGGUUAAGUCCCUCAGAGCUAAUGAGCAAACCCGAACAGCCUUCUUAACUCUGUCUCCCAAGCAGCGUGGGGGAGGCUACAGGGCCUCUCCCAGCUCUGAUCAAAUAUUGACCCUGUACAUUCACUGGCCGGAGUUCAGACUAAAGGGCCAGCAGCACUAUGGAGCCAAUGUUUGCAAAGCAAUUACUGGACCCCAGGGCCUUGUAGGUCAGAUUGUGAAACAACCUUCGAUGGAGCCGGAGCUUCAGAGAGCCUUCCGGUCCUUCCUCGGUGGGGCCGGGCCUUGCGAGAGAUACUUAACAGUGAAGGAGCUGUGCAAGGAAAUUUACAGAGGCUGGAAGUGUGGUCCAGCGCCAAAAACAGAGGGCAAGUUAAGAGCAUCAGUGGCCCUUUUCCCUCCUCCUUCUCCCCUGCACUGCACCUCCAAGUAGUCCAAGCUCUUUCUAACCAAACAGGCCUCAACAUCAAGCCUUGUCCCCACCAACUCCCUCUGGGACAGGCCCCUUUCCUGGUCAGAUAGGGCUGAGUGGUGGAUUAUUUUUAGAAGAAACCAAUUUCCAUUUGGAGACCAAGAGCCUCUCCUCUCCCUGUUCCCAACUUGACAUCUGAAACGUCCUUAAAAGCCCUCUCUGGUAACUGACCUGGUUUCCAGAAGAGGUGUUUGGAAUAGCUGUUGAAUUUGAACUGCUCUACGGAUGGGCCAAGUCGUGGUGGAACACAGGGAUCCUAGAAGAUGUUAGAAGACAAGUGGAGAGGGACUGGGAGGCGGCAGAGCACGCUGGGGUGGGCUCAAAGCCAGAUUGAGUCUAUGAUGUGUCUCAGAAGGUCCAAGGAAGCAGAGUCCAAUAGAUGAUGAUAGAAAUGUCCCACAUCUAGAGAACAAGCCAGGGAUUACCAGUGGGGGGAGGGGGGAGGCACUAUAAGGGUAGGAAAGUGGGAGACACAAACUCCUGUAAGACAGGCUCAAGGAUGCAUUAUAGAACAAUGGGGAAUAUAGCCAAUGUUUUGUAAUAACUGUAAAUGGAAAGUGACCUUUAAAAAUCAUAUGAAAAUUUUCAUAAAAAUUAAAAACAAAAGAAAUCUUCCAUUAUCUGCUUGAUACAUAGCAAUUAGCCACUGUGGCUACUGGGCACUUACAAUGUAGCAUGACCAAGAAAGUAAAUUUCACUUCGUUUCCUUUUUUUUUUUU